AACGCUAGCUACAGGCUUAACACAUGCAAGUCGAGGGGCAGCAUGGUCUUAGCUUGCUAAGGCCGAUGGCGACCGGCGCACGGGUGAGUAACACGUAUCCAACCUGCCGUCUACUCUUGGACAGCCUUCUGAAAGGAAGAUUAAUACAAGAUGGCAUCAUGAGUCCGCAUGUUCACAUGAUUAAAGGUAUUCCGGUAGACGAUGGGGAUGCGUUCCAUUAGAUAGUAGGCGGGGUAACGGCCCACCUAGUCUUCGAUGGAUAGGGGUUCUGAGAGGAAGGUCCCCCACAUUGGAACUGAGACACGGUCCAAACUCCUACGGGAGGCAGCAGUGAGGAAUAUUGGUCAAUGGGCGAGAGCCUGAACCAGCCAAGUAGCGUGAAGGAUGACUGCCCUAUGGGUUGUAAACUUCUUUUAUAAAGGAAUAAAGUCGGGUAUGCAUACCCGUUUGCAUGUACUUUAUGAAUAAGGAUCGGCUAACUCCGUGCCAGCAGCCGCGGUAAUACGGAGGAUCCGAGCGUUAUCCGGAUUUAUUGGGUUUAAAGGGAGCGUAGAUGGAUGUUUAAGUCAGUUGUGAAAGUUUGCGGCUCAACCGUAAAAUUGCAGUUGAUACUGGAUAUCUUGAGUGCAGUUGAGGCAGGCGGAAUUCGUGGUGUAGCGGUGAAAUGCUUAGAUAUCACGAAGAACUCCGAUUGCGAAGGCAGCCUGCUAAGCUGCAACUGACAUUGAGGCUCGAAAGUGUGGGUAUCAAACAGGAUUA
rnacentral:rRNA from 1 species